GCUGGCGGCAGGCCUAACACAUGCAAGUCGAACGAGAAGCUUUCCUUCGGGAAAGUGGAAAGUGGCAGACGGGUGAGUAACGCGUGGGAACGUGCCUUUCGGUCCGGAAUAACUCAGGGAAACUUGGGCUAAUACUGGAUACGCCCUUAGGGGGAAAGAUUUAUCGCCGAAAGAUCGGCCCGCGUCAGAUUAGCUUGUUGGUGGGGUAAUGGCUCACCAAGGCGACGAUCUGUAGCUGGUCUGAGAGGAUGAUCAGCCACACUGGGACUGAGACACGGCCCAGACUCCUACGGGAGGCAGCAGUGGGGAAUAUUGGACAAUGGGCGCAAGCCUGAUCCAGCCAUGCCGCGUGGGUGAAGAAGGCCCUAGGGUUGUAAACCCCUUUCAGCGGGGAAGAUAAUGACGGUACCCGCAGAAGAAGCCCCGGCUAACUCCGUGCCAGCAGCCGCGGUAAUACGGAGGGGGCUAGCGUUGUUCGGAAUUACUGGGCGUAAAGCGCGCGUAGGCGGACUUUCAAGUCAGGGGUGAAAUCCCGAGGCUCAACCUCGGAACUGCCUUUGAUACUGUAAGUCUUGA
rnacentral:rRNA from 2 species